rnacentral:rRNA from 1 species
UAAAACCAGCACCUCAAGUGGUCAGGAUGAUUAUUGGGCCUAAAGCAUCCGUAGCCGGCUCUGUAAGUUUUCGGUUAGAUCUGUACGCUCAACGUACAGGCUGCCGGGAAUACUGCAGAGCUAGGGAGUGGGAGAGGUAGACGGUACUCGGGAGGAAGUGGUAAAAUGCUUUGAUCUCUCGAUGACCACCUGUGGCGAAGGCGGUCUACCAGAACACGUCCGACGGUGAGGGAUGAAAGCUGGGGGAGCAAACCGGAUUAGAUACCCGGGUAGUCCCAGCUGUAAACUAUGCAAACUAAGUGAUGCAUUGGCUUGUGGCCAAUGCAGUAUUUCAGGGAAGCCGUUAAGUUUGCCGCCUGGGAAGUACGUACGCAAGUAUG